rnacentral:rRNA from 1 species
AGAGUUUGAUCCUGGCUCAGAACGAACGCUGGCGGCAGGCUUAACACAUGCAAGUUGAACGUGAUUUGCUGGGUGCUUGCACCGAGCAAUGAAAGUAGCGCACUGGUGAGUAACACGUGGGAACGUACCUUUUGGUGGGGAACAACAGUUGGAAACGACUGCUAAUACCGCAUAAGCCCUGAGGGGGAAAGAUUUAUCGCCGAAAGAACGGCCCGCGGAAGAUUAGGUAGUUGGUGGGGUAACGGCCUACCAAGCCGACGAUCUAUAGCUGGUCUGAGAGGACGAUCAGCCACAUUGGAACUGAGACACGGUCCAAACUCCUACGGGAGGCAGCAGUGAGGAAUAUUGGGCAAUGGAGGCAACUCUGACCCAGCCAUGCCGCGUGAGUGAAGAAGGUUUUCGGAUUGUAAAGCUCUUUCGGGUGUGACGAUGAUGACGGUAGCACCUAAAGAAGCCCCGGCUAACUUCGUGCCAGCAGCCGCGGUAAUACGAAGGGGGCAAGCGUUGUUCGGAAUUACUGGGCGUAAAGGGAGUGUAGGCGGUUAUGUAAGAUAGUGGUGAAAUCCCAGAGCUUAACUUUGGAAUUGCCAUUAUGACUAUGUGGCUAGAAUUACAGAGAGGAUAGUGGAAUACCCAGUGUAGAGGUGAAAUUCGUAGAUAUUGGGUAGAACACCAGUGGCGAAGGCGACUAUCUGGCUGUAUAUUGACGCUGAGGCUCGAAAGCAUGGGGAUCAAACAGGAUUAGAUACCCUGGUAGUCCAUGCUGUAAACGAUGAGUGCUUGUUGU